rnacentral:rRNA from 1 species
AGUGAACGCUGGCGGUAGGCCUAACACAUGCAAGUCGAACGGCAGCACAGUAAGAGCUUGCUCUUACGGGUGGCGAGUGGCGGACGGGUGAGGAAUACAUCGGAAUCUACUUUUUCGUGGGGGAUAACGUAGGGAAACUUACGCUAAUACCGCAUACGACCUACGGGUGAAAGCAGGGGAUCUUCGGACCUUGCGCGAUUGAAUGAGCCGAUGUCGGAUUAGCUAGUUGGCGGGGUAAAGGCCCACCAAGGCGACGAUCCGUAGCUGGUCUGAGAGGAUGAGUAGCCAAACUGGAACUGAGACACGGUCCAGACUCCUACGGGAGGCAGCAGUGGGGAAUAUUUGACAAUGGGCGCAAGCCUGAUCCAGCCAUACCGCGUGGGUGAAGAAGGCCUUCGGGUUGUAAAGGCCUUUUUGUGGGAAAGAAAAGCAGCCAGUUUAAUCCCCGCUGGUCUGACGGUACCCAAAGAAUAAGCACCGGCUAACUUCGUG